UCCCUGGUGGCGCAGUGGUUGCGCGUCUGCCUGCCGAUGCAGGGGAACCGGGUUCGAGCCCCGGUCUGGGAG